rnacentral:rRNA from 1 species
UACGGGGGGGUGCGAGCGUUUGUCCGGAAUCACUGGGCGUAAAGGGCGCGUAGGUGGUCUGAUAAGGGUGUGGUGAAAGCCCGGGGCUCAACCCCGGGUCGGCCGUGCCGACUGUUAGACUAGAGUACUGUAGGGGCAGGCGGAAAUUCCGGGUGUAGCGGUGGAAUGCGUAGAUAUCUGGAGGAACACCGGUGGCGAAGGCGGCAUCCUGGACCGGUAUUGACGCUGAGGCGCGAAAGCCAGGGGAGCGAACGGG